UACGUAGGGGGCAAGCGUUGUCCGGAUUUAUUGGGCGUAAAGAGCGUGUAGGCGGCCAGGUAGGUGGGUUGUGAAAACUGGAGGCUCAACCUUCAGAGGUCGACCCAAACCCCCCUGGCUAGAGUCCGGAAGAGGGAGAGUGGAAUUCCUGGUGGUAGCGGUGAAAUGCGCAGAUAUCAGGAAGAACACCCGUGGCGAAGGCGGCUCUCGUGGGACGGUACUGACGCUGAGACGCGAAAGCGUGGGGAGCGAA
rnacentral:rRNA from 1 species